rnacentral:rRNA from 1 species
AAAACGACUCUCGGCAACGGAUAUCUAGGCUCUCGCAUCGAUGAAGAACGUAGCGAAAUGCGAUACUUGGUGUGAAUUGCAGAAUCCCGCGAAUCAUCGAGUUUUUGAACGCAAGUUGCGCCCGAAGCCAUUCGGCCCAGGGCACGUCUGCCUGGGUGUCACGC